rnacentral:rRNA from 1 species
GACGAACGCUGGCGGCGUGCUUAACACAUGCAAGUCGAGCGGUAAGGCCCUUUCGGGGGUACACGAGCGGCGAACGGGGGAGUAACACGUGGGUGACCUGCCCUCCACUCUGGGAUAAGCCCGGGAAACUGGGUCUAAUACCGGAUAGGACCACUCAACGCAUGUUGGGUGGGGGAAAGUUUUUUCGGUGGGGGCUGGGCCCGCGGCCUAUCAGCUUGUUGGUGGGGUGAUGGCCUACCAAGGCGGUGACGGGUAGCCGGCCUGAGAGGGCGGCCGGCCACACUGGGACUGAGACACGGCCCAGACUCCUACGGGAGGCAGCAGUGGGGAAUAUUGCGCAAUGGGCGGAAGCCUGGCGCAGCGACGCCGCGUGGGGGAUGACGGCCUUCGGGUUGUAAACCUCUUUCGCCAGGGACGAAGCUAACGUGACGGUACCUGGAGAAGAAGCACCGGCCAACUACGUGCCAGCAGCCGCCGUAA